GUUUUUAUAAUUUAAUUAAAAUAUUGAUCUUGUAAAUCAAAUAUAAGUAACUUUUAAAAACA
rnacentral:tRNA from 2 species